rnacentral:ncRNA from 1 species
UAUCUGGUUGAUCCUGCCAGUAGUCAUAUGCUUGUCUCAAAGAUUAAGCCAUGCAUGUCUAAGUAUAAGCACUUGUACUGUGAAACUGCGAAUGGCUCAUUAAAUCAGUUAUCGUUUAUUUGAUCGUACCUUUACUACUUGGAUAACCGUGGUAAUUCUAGAGCUAAUACAUGCGAAAAGUCCCGACUUCUGGAAGGGAUGUAUUUAUUAGAUUCAAAACCAAUGCGGGUUCUGCCCGGUCAU